CACAACACAACUCUACAACAUAACUAAGUCAUACAAGCAUCAUAAUACAAGCCAGGGGCCUCGAGGCCUCGAAUACAAGUGCUCGAUCAUAGACGAGUCAGCGGAAGCAACAAUAUCUGAGUACAGACAUAAGUUAAACAAGUUUGCCUUAAGAAGGCUAGCACAAAAGUAGCAACGAUCGAAAAGGCAAGGCCUCCUGCCUGGGACCUCCUAACUACUCCUCAAAGCCAAACUCCACGUAGAAUCAUCCUCGGGAUCUCUAGCUCCUGGACUCCAGCAUCUGGUUGCGACAACCAGGUAUAGAAAGGGGAAAAGAGGGAGAAAAGCAACCGUGAGUACUCAUCCAAAGUACUCGCAAGCAAGGAGCUACACUACAUAUGCAUGGGUAUAUGUGUAAAGGGCCAUAUCGGUGGAAUGAACUGCAGAAUGCCAGAAUAAGAGGGGGAUAGCUAAUCCUGUCGAAGACUAUGCUUCUGGCCACCUCCAUCUUGCAGCAUGUAGAAGAGAGUAGAUUGAAGUUCUCCAAGUAGCAUCGCAUAGCAUAAUCCUACCCGGUGAUCCCCUCCUCGUCGCCCUAUAAGAGAGCGAUCACCGGGUUGUAUCUGGCACUUGGAAGGGUGUGUUUUAUUAAGUAUCCGGUUCUAGUUGUCAUAAGGUCAAGGUACAACUCCGGGUCGUCCUUUUACCGAGGGACACGGCUAUUCGAAUAGAUAAACUUCCCUGCAAGGGUGCACCACAUAACCCAACACGCUUGAUCCCAUUUGGCCAGACACACUUUCCUGGGUCAUGCCCGGCCUUGAAAGAUCAACACGUCGCAGCCCCACCUAGGCACAACAGAGAGGUCAGCACGCCGGUCUAAAUCCUAUGGCGCAGGGGUCUGGGCCCAUCGCCCAUUGCACACAUGCACGUUGCGAGGGCGGCCGGAAGCAGACCUAGCCUAGCAGGCGUUCCAGUCCAAUCCGGCACGCGCCGCUCCGUCGCUGACGUCACGAAGGCUUCGGCUGAUACCACGACGUCGAGUGCCCAUAACUGUUCCCGCGUAGUUGGUUAGUGCGUAUAGACCAAAUGGCCAGACUCAUAUCAAAUACCAAGAACUCGUUAAGCGUGUUAUUUUUAAGUAUCCGCGGACGCCGACCAGGGCCAGGCCCACCUCUCUCCUAGGUGGUCUCAACCUACCCUGUCGCUCCGCCACAAAGUAACAGUUGGGGGCCGUCAGGAACCCAGGCCCACCUCUACCGGGAUGGACCCACCUGUCCUUUCAGCCCCCUCAUCAGAAUCACUUGCGGGUACUUAACGAGCUGACCCGACUUUAGUCACCACAUGUGCCAUGUAUAUAAAGUAUAUAGUAUAUACCCGUGAUCACCUCCCUUGUGAUCACGGCCCGAUAGUAUAGCAUGGCAGACGGACAAGAGUGUAGGGCCACUGAUGGAACACUAGCAUCCUAUUCUAAGCAGUAGGAUAGCAGGUAAGGGUAACAACUGUAGCAACAAUGACAGGCUAUGUAGCAGAAUAGGAUUAACCGAAAGCAGUAACAUGCUACACUACUCUAAGGCAAGCAGUAUAGAGAAGAAUAGGCGAUAUCUGGUGAUCAAGGGGGGGCUUGCCUGGUUGCUCUGGCAAGAAGGAGGGGUCGUCAACAGCGUAGUCGGUCGGGGCACCAGCAGCGGCGUCGGUCUCGUAGUCUACCGGAGAAGAGGGGAAAGAAACAAUAAAUAUAAUGCAAACAUAAGCAUGACGAUGGAAGACAUGUCAAUGCCCGGUGCUAGGUGUGCCCUAACAUGGUAGAAGGUGGUACCGGGAAAGGGGGUAAACAUCCGGAAAAAUAUUCCCGGUGUUUCACAUUUUCGGACAAAUGAACCGGAGGAGGAAAGUUGCGUGUUUGCUAUGCUAGGGAUGUGUGGCGGGCGAACGGGCUGCGUAUCCAAAUUCGUCUCGUCGUUCUGAGAAACUUUCAUGUACAAAGUUUUUUCAUCCGAGCUACGGAUUAUUUUAUAUUAAUUUCCAAAGUUUUAUUUAUUUUCUAAAUUUAAAUUAAUUCGAAUUUAAACAGUGUAAUAUUCUUUUAUACCUAGCAGCAGCUAGCUACUGAGUAUGACAGGUGGGGGCCAGAGGCUGAGUCAGCAUGCACAGUCAGCAAGUCAAAGGUCAACGUUGACCAGUCAAACAGGGGGUGGGACCCAGGUGUCAUAGGAUGUUUUAUUAACAGCAGUUAUAAUUAGUUAGUUUAUCAAAAGGGGCCCACUAGUCAGUGGGAUAUUAGGUAGGGGGUUAGGUUAGUGCCUAAUUAACAGGGUCGGGCGCACCCGCUGGUUUUAACCAGUGCGCCGGCGGUGGCGUACAAAGGCGACGGGGCCUCGCCGGACUCGCGGCUCCGGCGACCAUUUGGUCAGCCGAGAGCGGUUACGGGGAGAGGGCAACGGCGCGAGUCGAGGAGAGGGGUCAGUAGGUGCGGGGGGUGGUCGGAGCGAUGGCUACGACGACUGACGAGCGGCGGUGGCGACGGAGCUGCGUUGGGGACCCGGUACAGGCGACCCAAGGACGCGUGGAUGGGCUCUCUGGAACGUCCGCAUCGCGGCGCGUCCAGCGGUAGCGGUGGCGUGGCCGGAGAUGUCCGGCAGCGACGGGGGCGAGGUCCGUGGCGUAGGAGGCUACAGUAGGCGGGCCAGGCCGAUGCAGGCGUGCAAGGGUGCAGCCGGACGCGGCGGCCGGGCUGCAGCGGCACGGGGCAUGGCGUUGAGGCAGGGCUAGCAAGGAGGCGCGGAGGAGAGGGCAGUACUGAGCAGAGGUGGACGGCGGGGCGCGCGGCGCGGUCUUCGCGGGGGCGAGGUAGCGGAGAGGGGAAGAGGAGGCCGAGGGCCUCACCGCGAGCCGUAGGGGAAUGGCAGCGGUUGUCGGGGAGGAAGACGGGGACGACGUGUGAUGAGGCGGCGCCGGUGCGGGUGAGGCCGGGGAAGCGAUCCGGCGAAGUCCGGCGGCGUCGUGGCGGCUCGGGUCGGGGGCGACGGGAUCGGGACGACGGUUGCCCCCGAUCCAGAUCCGUUCGUGGGGGGGAAGAGCGAGGAGAUCAUGCGGGUGGGGGGAGGAGUGGACCGAGAGGGGGGGGUAGUGGGGAUCGGGCAGAGGCGUUUUGUGCGUCGCGCGUGUGUGUGUGGCGGCGCACGGAGGGAAAGAAGGGAGCGAGAGGUGAGGGCUAGGGUUAGAGUGGGGUGGCUGGGCUUUGGGCCGGCCAUGCUGGCUUGUUGGGUCGGCUGGUCCAAUUGGACCAGGGGGUGGGAGUUUUAUCCUUUUCAUUUUUGUUUUUCUUUUAUUUUUCAAUUUCCUUUUUGUUUAUAUAAUCUUUCAAAUUGCUUUAGUUUUGUAAAACAUAUAGUUAGCACCUAAAUUAGUAAUAGUAAUUAUACCACUGCCACAAUUAUUUUUGUAGUUAUAAAAAGUAGUUUAUAAAUUAAUCAUUUAAGAGACGUUUAAAUAAUUGUUUUAGCUACUGUUUUACUUAUCUUAGAGCAUUUAAACAUUUUAUAAAAGUGUGGUUUCUCCACCAUAAUUACUUAUGCAUUAUUUGGCACAACUUGAACAACUUGGUUUUAAUAUUUGAAAACUUUUAUUAUUUGCCUUUAAUUGAAUUUGAAUUUGAAUCGGUUUCGAACUAGCACGAGAUUAGCGACAGUAAUCGAAGUGACGUGGCAUCAUUAGCAGAGAAUUACUAUAGCUUGAUUAUCCGGGCGUUACAAAUCUCCUCCACUACAAGAAAUCUCGUCCCGAGAUUUAAGAGGUAGAGUAAGGGGGCAAGAUCUAGUUACGAAAUUUUAACGAAUCCUCUCGGUCUUGGUUGCGCUUCUCGAAGUGGUCGAUCCAUUACAUGGUUGUCUUGAUUUCUCUGCUUCAAGUCAUCACGAUGAAGCCAUCAUCCUGUCUAUAGGACAUCCAUCAUACUUACGACAGAAUAAGGGGGGGGGGUAUUCCAGGAGAACGGAUCUCGGCAAGUUGGACUAUCUGGUCGAUAACAUCGAGGCAGGUGGCGGGAGUAACUCUCGAAUUGGAACUUAAGAAAAUAUCGAGAGUAAAGUAAGGAGGUAUCAUGAGAAGUUUCGAGCGGGCAGGCAACCGUUCGAUGCCUGAAACAUAGCGUGAAAAGGGUUCAAAGCAAUGGGAAUAAGUAUUCUGUCUGAUACCAGAAAUGAUGAUCCCUCGGAAGGUGGCUCGUGAAUUACAUACGAGACCACGCGCGAGGAAUAACUUUGGAACAAGGGGAUGUACAGGAGAGUCAGGUUUCGAUCCUGUGGAACUGUGGGUUAUGGGCCCACCAUGUGGAUUAAAAGUAGGAGGAAUGGUAACAUCUUGCACGGUCAUGGUAGCAAGGCAUGUCAGAGGGUAGCCUGCCAGUUAUGUCGGCAACAACGUCGGUACCAAGGGCGAGGGACGAAGAGAACCAUUUUCCUGCUCGUUGAACGAGGCGGACCAAUAGGCAAAGUUCUCGUCCAUCGGUGGCUACCGGAAUGCCAUCAACAAUAGUAACAGGGUCUUACUGAUAGAGUGGUACAACAAGGUGCUUACCUAAGCAGGGAAAUGUCACUGCUCAGUUAAGUCAGAUUACUGGAAAGGUUAAACAAUACAAUGGAAAUGAUAGUAUGAUUAUCAGAUUAAACAGAACAAUGGAAAGGAAAAUGUGUUUAACACAUAUUUCAGGGGUAUAUCCUUCCCAAGGACAAGCAGAGCCUGAUAACCAUGAUAGGAUAUUAUGUAGAAAAACCUCUAGGUGAGGGGAGAGAAAUUUCAUGACAUUACCAUACAACGGUGUUUGGAUAAUUGAGCAGGAAACAUUUAGCAUUGGGCUUCAAAUGUUCUUAUUGAAGAUCGGAGUACCACAAGCAUGCGUCGAGACAGCAUUGACAAGGUAUUCAAGCAAAUUCGGACUUUGGAUACUCAAAGGAUUCAUCAGGUACAACUUAUAUAAUAAGUCUUACAAUUUCCUCAUGGAGAAAUGGAUAAUCUUGCUAAAAAGGAAACUAUAACAAUAGGGCCUCCGGCUAGGUGUUCUAGGCAUGACAUUAUCUUAUCGGGUCAUAUAUAAAGACCAAUGUUAUAACUCUUGGAAAUAUGUUCUAACCAUCAUAUCUGACCGAGAUUCAGAUCUGAUUGGUGUUAGGAUAACUCAGACUUAGGAUGCCUUAGAAGAAAGGUGCAACACAAAUUGUCGAGGUGACAUUGUAAGAUUCUCGGGAAUUGAACUAUGGAAGCGAGUUCCGAAACAAGAGUUCAUCAUUAAAUCAAGGAGAGGAUGAGGAGGUGGCUGAUGGUCUCGGCGCCAAUUCAUCAAGAUUUCCAAAAGAUGGAUCUCCACAAUUAUGUGAACAAGGAUAUAACAUUUAACAGAUCAAAUGAUAUAAUGAUGUAUGCUCGAGGGAAACAUACACAAUUAAUCACUGGUUGAAAGGUGCACCCGAAAUAUGGGCUUAGGUAGCAGGAUCAAUGUUAGAAUGGUGAUUCGAUAACCAAUGGUCUAAGAAUGAAAUGUCGACCAUUAACUUCAAAGCAAUAGGGUUUCUAGAAGUACAGAAUCCAAGCAACAUGGUUCACGUGUUGGUAUCCCAGUUAGAAUCAACAUGGGGACCAAGAAAGAAUGGUGAGGGUGAGAAGUAUCACAAUACCAAGAAUUCCUUAAGAGGUGGAGCAGUCCUCACAACAUCCUUGACAUAAAAGAUGGUAAUACUCCAAGGUAGAACAUAUCAUAAGCUAGAUAGCAGGGAAAUCAAGAUACAACACAAAAUAUGAACAAGUUUGUGUUGGGGGAGGCAAGAAUGUUGUCGAUGAUAACACAAUUCAUCGAGGGGCAAGGAUGGUAUUUCUCAUCCUGAAUUUCGACACACAACUUGGAAGAAGUCAAAUUGUUGACAACGAUCACGACAAAUUUGUCGAGAGGUUUUCAAGAAGAUGUAAUUGAUCGACGAUGACAUCAAGUCAAACGAAUGAUGAAAGCGAAAGGUUAUUGGAACCAUGGGUACGACACAAACUCAAAAUCAAGCUUGUUGUUCAAGGCGAAAUGAUAUGACGAGGAAAAUCGACGUAAGCUUAGCUCAUCGUCGAAAGUGGUGCUCCGGAAAUAAGGACCAGGUAGCACAGCUAAAAUCAUCUCGACAAUGAUAUAGCCAAAUAGGCUAGGAAUGGCGUGAUCGGGUACAAACUCGUACGUAAAGAAGAUUACUAAGAGUUGUCGAGCCAUAGUGCGGACUUGGUUCAGUUAUCGGUGUCUUUGAGUGUUUCAUAACUCAGAGCCCGUGAAAAAUUGGAAUCAGUGAGAAUGUAGUACUUGAUGAAGAACUCAUAAGAAGUUAUGCAGUUCCAUGAUAAUCUUGAGAUACCAGGGGGGUAAUACUCGACGACAAACCAAAGUAGAGGUUGGACUGGGGUAUUGCUCUGCAGAAGACAAGUGCUUAACUUGUACGAGAAAUGGUAUUUAAAGGAGAACAUGGUCGGAACCACGAUUGCAAAAGGCCAGAUCCCAGAUAUAAGAUGAACUUAUACCAAGGGAAUAAUUAAUUUAAGAGAAGCUUUAAUGAUAAGAUCUACAUCGUGUCCAUGGGCAUGAACACAAAGUUCAAGGUCGACUCCCACUUCUCCAAUGCAUAACCUUUCAUUCACUUCUCGCAUUCGAUGAAGUUGUAUGGUAGAAAAUUAACUGGUAAAAUACCAGAAGGGUAUGACUUGUGAAAACCUUCGGGUUCAUACGGUUUUUAGGGAAGGUAUAGGUUCAAUCCAUCGGGGCAUCUUAGAAACAUAUACCUCAAGUUUCAAUAGUAAAUAUCACCAGCUCGAAAGCAGAGCAUGGUUGGCCAAAUCAAGGAAUAGGAUUUACCAAAGGCAUUAUGUAUCAGGGAAAGAACUUCUCGAGGUUUUUGUAUAUGAAAGACACUGUCGGAUGAUAUUCCAACAAAGGAUCCGACGGUCCAUAGCGGAGCUGAUGUGAGUAUCGGCACACAACCAGAGGAAGAAACAAUGUGAAGGCAUUGGAUGAUAGAAGCAACUGACUAAUUCAAAGCUCACAUCUAAAGGAAUUAUAGUUUCCGAAUCAAAGGAUCAGAAGCAAAUGCUCUGAUUAAGGAUGGAUAACUUGAGUAAGCUUAGGGGUACAAAUGACGACAAUUUGAUUGGUCGAGAUCCAGCUCAUGUUAAAAAAUGACGUCUGAGCCGGAAGGAUGAAUUCUAGGAUAUGAUUGAGGAUUGCGAGCAUUCGCAACAUAUUGAAUCAAUGGACUCAAAAUGAUAUUUGACAAAGGAUGCCAAUAAGAUUACCAGACUUAUGGGAUUAACCAUAAUGCAAGCAAGCAAGAAUUUCAAGAGCAAGAGGAUGCUCAGGAUUUUUGGAAGAUCGAAUGGUAUUUCGAAAACUUUUGUGAAACACAUGAACAAUUGGGAAAGAGCGGAUACUCAAUAAGCGCGAGGAAUUAUCCGUAAGGGUAUUCAUGAGGCAAGAACUGUAUAGCAGUAAGCUCAAAGGAUUCUUGGAACAACGGAGAGCGGUUCAGGGCAUCUUGUAUUAACAAGAUCAACUUGGAAUAAAAUUAAGAACGACGGGUGUAAGUAUUUAUCCAUAGGGAUAGAUCAGUGGUAGGGAAUUGCAAAAGCAACGAGCACAAAGUCUCGAGAACAUCGGAGAGUAUCUUCGAAAUCCUUCGGUGCACCAAGCAAUCAUCUGGAGUGAGGGGCUCUCCGGGAGGAAGUAGUUACGAGAACCUAGAGUUAGAUUUAGUAAAAUCAUUUAACCCGAAUAGAAGAGAGAUCAGAGUCCUAGAGUAUAGAUGAGGAAUAAAAGUCCUAAUACCACCCAAUGGCGACGUGGGCCCGUAAGACACACAGCCAUGUUAGUAAAAGUUUUGCAAUGUCUAGACUCGACUUCGGCCAAGGAGUGUGGAAGGGGGUUUCCUACAGGCAGUCGGCUCUGAUACCAACUUGUGACGCCCCGUUUUGACAGUACACUAAUCAUGCACGCAAAUGUGUACGAUCAAGAUCAGGGACUCACGAGAAGAUAUCACAACACAACUCUACAACAUAAAUAAGUCAUACAAGCAUCAUAAUACAAGCCAGGGGCCUCGAGGCCUCGAAUACAAGUGCUCGAUCAUAGACGAGUCAGCGGAAGCACCAAUAUCUGAGUACAGACAUAAGUUAAACAAGUUUGCCUUAAGAAGGCUAGCACAAAAGUAGCAACGAUCGAAAAGGCAAGGCCUCCUGCCUGGGACCUCCUAACUACUCCUCAAGGCCAAACUCCACGUAGAAUCAUCCUCGGGAUCUCUAGCUCCUGGACUCCAGCAUCUGGUUGCGACAACCAGG
rnacentral:lncRNA from 1 species